rnacentral:rRNA from 1 species
AUUGAACGCUGGCGGCAGGCCUAACACAUGCAAGUCGAACGAGUGGCGGACGGGUGAGUAAUGUCUGGGAAACUGCCCGAUGGAGGGGGAUAACUACUGGAAACGGUAGCUAAUACCGCAUACCAUCGGAUGUGCCCAGAUGGGAUUAGCUUGUAGGUGAGGUAACGGCUCACCUAGGCGACGAUCCCUAGCUGGUCUGAGAGGAUGACCAGCGACAGUGGAACUAGGACACGGUCCAGACGCCUAGGUGGGGCAGCAGUGGUGAAUGUUGCACAAUGGGAGCAAGCCUGAUUGAGCCAUGUCGAGUGUAUUAAUAAGGCAUUCGGGUUGUAAAGUACUUUCAGCGGGGAGGCGGUACCCGCAGAAGAAUCACCGGCUAACUCCGUGCCAGCAGCCGCGGUAAUAC